GUUGGGUAGGGGAGCGUUCUGUAAGCCUGCGAAGGUGGCCUGUGAGGGUUGCUGGAGGUAUCAGAAGUGCGAAUGCUGACAUAAGUAACGAUAAAGCGGGUGAAAAGCCCGCUCGCCGGAAGACCAAGGGUUCCUGUCCAACGUUAAUCGGGGCAGGGUGAGUCGACCCCUAAGGCGAGGCCGAAAGGCGUAGUCGAUGGGAAACGGGUUAAUAUUCCCGUACUUGGUGUUACUGCGAAGGGGGGACGGAGAAGGCUAUGUUGGCCGGGCGACGGUUGUCCCGGUUUAAGCGUGUAGGUGUGUGUUCCAGGUAAAUCCGGUUCACUUUAACACUGAGGCGUGACGACGAGGCACUACGGUGCUGAAGCAACAAAUGCCCUGCUUCCAGGAAAAGCCUCUAAGCAUCAGGUAACACGAAAUCGUACCCCAAACCGACACAGGUGGUCAGGUAGAGAAUACCAAGGCGCUUGAGAGAACUCGGGUGAAGGAACUAGGCAAAAUGGUGCCGUAACUUCGGGAGAAGGCACGCUGACACGUAGGUGAAGUGAUUUACUCAUGGAGCUGAAGUCAGUCGAAGAUACCAGCUGGCUGCAACUGUUUAUUAAAAACACAGCACUGUGCAAACACGAAAGUGGACGUAUACGGUGUGACGCCUGCCCGGUGCCGGAAGGUUAAUUGAUGGGGUCAGCGCAAGCGAAGCUCCUGAUCGAAGCCCCGGUAAACGGCGGCCGUAACUAUAACGGUCCUAAGGUAGCGAAAUUCCUUGUCGGGUAAGUUCCGACCUGCACGAAUGGCGUAAUGAUGGCCAGGCUGUCUCCACCCGAGACUCAGUGAAAUUGAACUCGCUGUGAAGAUGCAGUGUACCCGCGGCAAGACGGAAAGACCCCGUGAACCUUUACUAUAGCUUGACACUGAACAUUGAGCCUUGAUGUGUAGGAUAGGUGGGAGGCUUUGAAGCGUGGACGCCAGUCUGCGUGGAGCCGACCUUGAAAUACCACCCUUUAAUGUUUGAUGUUCUAACGUGGACCCGUGAUCCGGGUUGCGGACAGUGUCUGGUGGGUAGUUUGACUGGGGCGGUCUCCUCCUAAAGAGUAACGGAGGAGCACGAAGGUUGGCUAAUCCUGGUCGGACAUCAGGAGGUUAGUGCAAUGGCAUAAGCCAGCUUGACUGCGAGCGUGACGGCGCGAGCAGGUGCGAAAGCAGGUCAUAGUGAUCCGGUGGUUCUGAAUGGAAGGGCCAUCGCUCAACGGAUAAAAGGUACUCCGGGGAUAACAGGCUGAUACCGCCCAAGAGUUCAUAUCGACGGCGGUGUUUGGCACCUCGAUGUCGGCUCAUCACAUCCUGGGGCUGAAGUAGGUCCCAAGGGUAUGGCUGUUCGCCAUUUAAAGUGGUACGCGAGCUGGGUUUAGAACGUCGUGAGACAGUUCGGUCCCUAUCUGCCGUGGGCGCUGGAGAACUGAGGGGGGCUGCUCCUAGUACGAGAGGACCGGAGUGGACGCAUCACUGGUGUUCGGGUUGUCAUGCCAAUGGCACUGCCCGGUAGCUAAAUGCGGAAGAGAUAAGUGCUGAAAGCAUCUAAGCACGAAACUUGCCCCGAGAUGAGUUCUCCCUGAGACUUAGAGUCUCCUGAAGGAACGUUGAAGACGACGACGUUGAUAGGCCGGGUGUGUAAGCGCAGCGAUGCGUUGAGCUAACCGGUACUAAUGAACCGUGAGGCUUAACCUUACAACGCCGAAG
rnacentral:rRNA from 1 species